AGGCAGCCUGAGAAACGGCUACCACAUCCAAGGAAG
rnacentral:rRNA from 1 species